GGGCGAAUGGUCUAGGGGUAUGAUAUUCGCUUUGCAUAUGAUCUGCUACAUCUUCGAUGUUUACAGACGCAUUGCCUGCGAAGGGUCCGGGGUUCAAAUCCCCGUUCGUCCA